AUAUUAAUUUUAACUGUAAUUUCGAUAUUAUUAUAUGUUCAGCAUGCCCAUGCAUCACUUAUAUGCAUAUAUUUAUGUAGUUAAACUCUAGGCACGAAUUAUGUUGCAUUGAUAACUGUUAAUGUGCCAUGAGUGUUGUUGUGGUAAUUUGGAGCAGUGUGCGUGCGUUGGCGUGCGUGUGAUGUGGUGUGGACUAUGGAUAGGACGGGUAGACACGGCUUGAGUUCUUCGCUGGGACCCGGUCCUUCGGGGUAGACACGGCUUGAGUUCUUCGCUGGGACCCCGAUUUGGUAUUUAAGUGGAAGUCCGAGCUGAGUUCUUCGCUGGCACCAUGUUGGAUUUAAGAGAGCUGUAUAGGGGAUCAGCUCCCAUAUAUUAUGAUUGAUGUUACAGGGCCACAGGAGGAUAUUUUGUUCUGGGUUAACCUGCUUUUCUCCUUCGCAGGUGUUUAUCAAUAAUUGUGUAAUUUUAUUUACUCCUAGAAUUUCCGCAUGUGUUAGCAGUAAUUAUUUGAAUUUGGUCUGUAAUAUUAUAUUCAUGUUGGACCUGUAAACUUAAUAUUUUAAGUCUGUUUUGAUGGAUUGGAUGAGGGAGCUGAGCUCCCAUUUAUUAUUA